rnacentral:rRNA from 1 species
AAAUUGAAGAGUUUGAUCAUGGCUCAGAUUGAACGCUGGCGGCAGGCCUAACACAUGCAAGUCGAGCGGUAGCACAGAGAGCUUGCUCUCGGGUGACGAGCGGCGGACGGGUGAGUAAUGUCUGGGAAACUGCCUGAUGGAGGGGGAUAACUACUGGAAACGGUAGCUAAUACCGCAUAAUGUCGCAAGACCAAAGUGGGGGACCUUCGGGCCUCAUGCCAUCAGAUGUGCCCAGAUGGGAUUAGCUAGUAGGUGGGGUAACGGCUCACCUAGGCGACGAUCCCUAGCUGGUCUGAG